ACCAUUGGACUACAAACGCUUUUGU
rnacentral:sRNA from 1 species